rnacentral:misc_RNA from 1 species
AGCAGCCGCGGUAAUUCCAGCUCCAAUAGCGUAUAUUAAAGUUGUUGCAGUUAAAAAGCUCGUAGUUGAAUUUCGGGAUUGACACAUCGGUCGUGCCUUAAGGGGUAUGAACUGGUGUAGUCAAUUUCUCACCUUCUGGAGAACCGCGAUGCCCUUAAUUGGGUGUCGCGGGGAACCAGGACCUUUACUUUGAAAAAUUAGAGUGUUUAAAGCAGGCAUUUUGCUUGAAUACAUUAGCAUGGAAUAAUAAAAUAGGACGGCAUGAUUCUAUUUUGUUGGUUUCUAGGAUCACCGUAAUGAUUAAUAGGGAUAGUUGGGGGCAUUAGUAUUCAAUUGUCAGAGGUGAAAUUCUUGGAUUUAUUGAAGACUAACUACUGCGAAAGCAUUUGCCAAGGAUGUUUUCAUUAAUCAAGAACGAAAGUUAGGGGAUCGAAGACGAUCAGGUACCGUCGUAGUCUUAACCAUAAACUAUGCCGACUAGGAAUCAGACGAUGUUAAUUUUUAAUGUACUCGUUGGCAC